AUCAUUUACAGGUUCUUAAGUCCUAUUUCAGGUUGAACUGCCUGAGCUUCUUAUUCUAGUCCAGAUAGCUGCAGGCUUCAUGAUAUUCUUCUCUAUUCUCGGUUAGCUGCAAUUCUUGCUACGACACCCCGAUGGGCUCUCUUCUUGCUUCAUCACAUUUUCCCUCUCGGCUCAGAGUACAAAGAUAAUGUCAGAAGAAUCGUUCAGCAAUUUGAAGAAAUGUUCACCUACAAUGUUGAUUGUGCUUAUAACUCCACCACCAAUUGAUGAAGCUGGGCGGCAAAGUUAUGCAGAGUAAUGCUUCCUUUUUGAUCAUUAUCGAUCAUUCCCUAAAUUCAUCAACAGGUUGAUCUUUUGAUAUAAAUUCAUGAACACAAUUCAAUCUUGAGAGUAAUGAACUUAUGAUGUACUUACUUUAUGUUGUGGAACACUUAUGUGCCUGCACUACCUUUUCUAUCUUUCAAUUUCUUCUUGCGAUGUA